GCUACGGGCGGCAGCAGUGGGGGAUAUUGCACAAUGGGGGAAACCCUGAUGCAGCGACGCCGCGUGAGUGAAGAAGUAUUUCGGUAUGUAAAGCUCUAUCAGCAGGGAAGAAAAUGACAGUACCUGACCAAGAAGCCCCGGCUAACUACGUGCCAGCAGCCGCGGUAAUACGUAGGGGGCAAGCGUUAUCCGGAUUUACUGGGUGUAAAGGGAGCGUAGACGGUUAUGCAAGCCUGGUGGGAAAGCCCGGGGCCCAACCCCGGGACUGCUUUGGAAACUGUGUACCUGGAGUACCGGAGGGGCAGGCGGAAUUCCUGGUGUAGCGGUGACAUGCGUAGAUAUCAGGAGGAACACCAGCGGCGAAGGCGGCCUGCUGGACUGCACCUGACGUUGAGGCUCGAAAGCGUGGGGAGCAAACAGGAUUAGAUACCCGGGUAGUC
rnacentral:rRNA from 1 species